UUUCAAAACGUACUGUAGCUAUAAUGCUACGAUACGUAUUUACUACGCGGCUGGUUCGGGUUCAAAUCCGGCAGAAGGUUUUUACUAAUUCUCAUUUAUUUUUCUACUUUUUUUGUUUUCUUUCGUUUCUCUUUUUUACGAAUCUUACCGUAAAAAUAUUAUAUAUUACGUAUUAUAUAUAUUUAUAAAUAUUAUAUACUGUAUUACAUAUUAUAUAUUAAUAUUACAUAUUAUAUACCACAUAUUAUACAUUAUUUUACAUAAAUUUCAAACUUGAAAAUGCAUUUAUAACCUAACAUAUUAUCCUAAUCGCCUCAUUCACAAGUGUAAAUAUAUUAUUAAAUGAUACAAAAAUAGAUAAAAUGCAAACUUCUGCUGGAUUCGAAUCCGAACUAGCAACUUUCUAAGCAACUACCAUAACGUUAUUCUAUUACUAUUGGGUUGUCCGGAAAGUUCGUUCCGAUUUACAUUUCGAUUCAUUAUACAUUUAUUGAAUUAUAUAGAUGGCAUUUUGUUCCACAACCUUUCUCCAUCUUUCACGUAACUCGAAUAUUCCAUCCUUCCAGAACCUCUCAGGCUUUUCGGCGAAAAACUUUUCAAUAUGAUCUUUCAUGUCGACAAAAUUCCUUAAAAAUCGAAACGAACUUUCAAUCAAAACGAACGGGCAAUCAAAUAAUUUACAAUAUGUAGUAUUCUAUCGAGACUUGAAGCUAAGACAAAGACGAAUUAGGAUUAAAUAUUAUCAAUAAUUAAAGAUUAUAAUCAAAUUUAAUCGAAGAAUAUAAUCAACUAUAUAUAAAUCAAUACUAAUAUAAAUAUAUCAAUAACUAAGGCUAAAUACUAUCGAAGACUUCUACAGACUAUAGUAAUACACACAUACACUUAUUAUGUGUUAGUUGAAUAGUAUGUACGAGGAUUCUACAUAUAUAGUAAUUGCCAUAUACAGUUGUAUAAUAUGUAUUUAUGCGCAGAGCAUACAUAAUUCUAUUGAGUACAUUACUUGUCGCCUGUGGUUCAGGUCAAUCAUCAAUAAAGGUUGGUAUUCUUCCUAUAAUUGUCGCAAUAACCAAUGUCUGAAGUCGAACAGAAUAGUUGUUCAGUUCGUGAAGUAUUCUUUUGUCUUGUAGUUUUCGAUUGUGAUGGUAAGUUAUAAGCAUAUUUUCUGACCUCUGAUUCAGACCUUGCGCCUCUAAAUGUACGAAUUUUUCAGUCGAGGUGUAUCCAGUUUAUUUUGUAAUUUCGAAGUAUUAAGGGUAGGUGGAACUAAACAUUAAGCUUAACACUAUCUUCGAUGUCUCUUACUUUGAUCCAGUGGUUUCUAAUUAUUUUCAGUAUGAGGAGGUCAAUUCUUAUCAUAUUAGCUUUGUCGUGUAGAUCGCCUUUGUUAACAUAUUUUGUAUCGACCUUUGCCCGUGACUUCAUUUACGUUUGGACUCUGUGAGUUUGUCGGAUAUUUAUUAUAUUUAUUUUCCUGUAUUUGUUUUUUACCAUCUGUAUACAAGGCCGCCAUCUCAAGCAUUAUCUGAUACUUUGUCCAGGUCAAUUAGUACUGCCCGCAGCAUUGAUUUAUAUUGUUUGUCCAAUAAAUAUCAUAUGUAAACUGUGUUGUGCUUGAAUUAGUUACAUAAUGAGCUUAUUGGUUUCAAUUUACUUUGGUGGAAUUAUGGCUUAGAAUACUCUGCUUAUUUUCAGAUAAUAAACAAAUAGCACGAUCAUUCGACAAGAUUAUCUUUUUGCAGAUGAUUCAUGGGGAGAGGUUUGCAGUUAUCCAGGAAAGUAUUUCAUAUUUAAACAGUUGUUGAAUGAUACUGUUUAGUGGUUUGUUAAUGUUAACUAUAGCUUCCAUGUAGUGCCAUUUCAAAUGCGAUGUCCACAACUGUGACUCCCUCUUGUAAGUAUUUAAUCAAGUGAUUUUCCCAAUGUAAUAGCCAACCUACAUAUUGGUAGACCAACAGGAUGAGAGAACUUAUAGAUACUCAACAUACUGACUCAACUGUUUCACAUUUUUCGCAAGUGAAUGUGGCUGAUCUGUAACGUGCAUAUACAUACUUACAUCAACACACAUACGUGUACACAUAUACGCGUACAUACAUUCGAUGGAUACGAAAGCACAAUGAAGAUGAAACUGUUAAUGUGGGGCAAACAAUUGCGAGAAUUUGAUGACGGAGAUAAUUUUAUGGCGCACAUUUCCGUAGUUAAAAGGCUAUUUCUGAGUCAACGCUUUUAAUUUUCCAUGUUUAUGGUGUUCUUAAUAGGAGGAUCUGACCUUUGGAAUCUAUUAUAGCAACGAUCGUAACAUUCGAUGAAGAUCGACAGAAUUUUCAUUACGUUCUUCCACGGGACUAUCGAAUGGCAGAAAAAUUUAGUCUGUUCACGAGAGUACCGUAUCUCUUCGUGUGGCUUGGUUUGGCUUACAAUCUCAAAGUUGCAUCACCUAGCGCCAUUCAAGGGCAAAUGAAAAGGCAUGGCGAUAAAUCUGAUCAAAAAUUACUCGUCAAGAAAGUCAUUCGAUUUCAACGACAGCGCGACGAGACGUAAGGGAAAAAUCAAUUUGGAGAUAUAAAUUUGGUAUUGAAUAUAUGAUGAAGAUGUAUUUGACAUGGUUUGAAGAAAACAUAGAAUGUCAAAAAAGAUAUAAAAACAGAUAAUAAAAGAUCACAAAAUAAAGAAAUAAAAAGAUAUUUUCAUUUCAAGUGACACUUAAAAAAUCCAUUUAGAUAUUUUAAUAUUGAAAUCUGUCCAUCGUACAGAUUAUACUUCAAGUAUAAUACAAUAUUUGCAUAUAUGACAAUUGAAAUAAAUUGCCCUAUUUAAGUUUCAUUUCUAUAGAAAAGUUGCGCCCAAUAAAAAAAUAUGAAUCUGCAUAAACUGAGCAGCUAAUUCAAACGUGUGUAAGUGUAUUAAGUGUGUGAGAGAGGUCAAGAAAAUGUUAACGAUACGUUAUAUUGCGAAUCAUGCAUAUUUACAUACAUCUAUGACAUCAUAUGAUUGAAUCUUCGGUUUGGGCGAGUAACGAUCUAAAUAUAGUUCGCGUCGGAAGAAAAGAAAAAUGAGAAAAAGGAAACUAGCUGAAAAAAGUGUUAGCCAAAAAGUUGUCAUUCUUCUGACGAAAACAUAAAACGAUCUUACGAUCAACAAAAAAUCUUUUCCUAAAAUAUUCCUACUCGCAUAAAUACGUAAAACACAUGGAAAUAUUGAAGACGAGAAACACCGCAAGGUUGAGACAGAAAGGAAGCAACAAAACGAAAAAGAUCACUCGUGAGAGGAGAGAAAGGCGGAGAAAGAAUGCAAAGGUGCGCUGUAACAAGACCAAAAGAAGAAAAUGACGAAGAAACUAGAGUAGAGGAGAAGUCUUAACCAGAGAAAGACGAAAAAGAGAAAGGAUGUCUGAAGAAUAAUAUCAGAGGAACCGGGUACGAGUCUCUACACGUAUACUUAUUAUUGCGUUUGCAUGUAUGUAAGCCCGAUCUUAGAGCAUAAUCGCGAACACACUCGGCAUCUGUCAAGGGCACAAGGAGUUGGAACGAAAAGAGCUGCCCUUUGCGCGCAUGUUUUUCUUUGUUUGUGCAAUUAAAAACUCACAGUUAACAUUGAGAACCGGAAACUAUCCAGAUGGAACCGAAUCCGCGUUCCUUGGAGAAUCCGCGGAUUUUAAUCCUUUUCGUAUGUUUUAAUUCAUUUCGGAAUUACGAAAUUUGUUUAAUUAAUAAAGCUAAAAGAAUUUUGAUAAUUCACAAAAAUAAAUACAUAUUUAGAUAUUCUUUACAAUUAAAGAAAUGUUAAAUAUUUAAUUGGAAUUUUCUCAUGUUCUUUAAUGUUCUGACUGAAGAUGUAAAAUAUUUAAGAAUUUAUUAGGGGUAUUAAUAAAUAUUAGAAUUUAUUUUAUAAAUAUUAGAAUUUAAUUAUUAAUUUUCGAAAAGUUAUAGCUAGAUAUAUAUCACGAGUAUUCUCAUUUCUAUUUCUUCUUUUGCCCUUUAAAAAGAGAAGAUAGAAAAAUUAAAAGCUCAUAAAACACCAAACUGGGAGUUGAUUAUGUAUCGCGUGACUCGAUCGCUUAAAUUCGAGGCAAUCCAUUUUUUACCUCUAGACAAUCGACGCCGGCAAUACGAAGAAACAGCUAUAAAAAUGGUUGUCGUUGUUUGCCAUGAUUUCGGGAUCAGCGUGAUCUAGCUAAAUCAUCCAGGUUUCAAUUUCGAACUCGCAAUGUCUGUGACCAAAUCGUGUGUUCGCGUGUUCAUACGCAUUUUCUCUGAAUGCUAUAAAAAUCUUUCAUAUUUUGGAGCGGCUUAUAAAGCUUCCUCUCUCAAAAAAUAAUAUAUCGUUUGUUAUGAAUAUUCAUAUAAAUGUAUUACUAUUGUCAAUAGAGGUAUUACAAAUCAAGAAUUUUUUACAUUACGCUAGUAUCGAUAUUUAUUGCUCUAAAAUUUCAUAAUCUUAUUUCUGUAUAUCCUCUAAUUACAGAACUAUACGAAAAAGAAUUCUACGUUUCAUAGAUCGAUAAUCUGCUGUACUUUAGAAAUUUUCAUAUAUUCGCAUACAUUUCAGAGCAGCUAUAGUUAUAUGCAUAUAUAAUUAAAUUUCUACAUAUCGGAGGAUUUUCAUUUCAUAAAGAAAAAUAUUUUUUCAACGUUAAAAUCGAAAGAUUGAAUUUUGCUUAGGAGAUGCCAACUUUUAGGCCGUUUUUCGACUAUGACGAUUAGGGGAGCCGAAAGGCCACACGUACGGCCUGCUCGGUCAGAGUUCCGACGCACGUGCCGAAAUCUUGUUAAUACCAUUCUGCAGAGUCGUGGCGGGCCAAGGUCGAUCCUCGAACGUUUCCUGAACGUUUGCAGAUAGCGAUUUACGGAGAGGAAGCGGCCAGUCGAAUCGACUGGCCAGGCAAUUUUUUUUAAAUAACUCCGCUCAGAAAGUUUCGUACGAAUAAUUGGUUCUCCUGAACAUUUUCAAUGGCUCGAUUUGAUGAAAUUUUAUUUGUACAAAAAUGUUAAAAAGUCAUGUUAGACGUUGCGUACGAAAAACUUUAAUAAUUGUCCCUAUAUAUAAAUUCCUUUUAUAAUAAAUGGACAACGAUAAUAUUCUACGAGUAAUGUAGCGUUUAUGUGUGUCACUACUUGGUAGUGAUAUAGUAUGUAAUAAAUAUCAAACACAAGGAAAAUCGUAAAUUUUGAAUUAAAACAAUUCUUGGAUAUAGGAAUUUAAAAAAACUUCUCUUAGUGUUAUAUAAACGUGUUACAUCACGCGUUGAACACGUGAACGUUUUAAAUUUAACAGUCAUUAAAAGGUAUAUCUUCAAGAUAUAUUAUAAUAAAACGUCACUCGCUGGUUUCGUCUAGUAUAUUCAACAAAAAGAAAUUUAUUAACUUUUUUCCUACUUAAAACAAGCACACGUGACGCUAAAAAAAUUCGCCAACUACUUACGCGACCUUGAGUCUUAUUUAUGUGUAUGAAAUCUUAUGCGUUUUUAAAUGGCUUUUGCUGGAACUCUUCAAGAAGCGUGUCGUUGAUAGAACAAACGUGUAUUCAUUGAUAAACAACGUGUCACGACAAAAUGCACAGUCAUUUUUUUUUUUUAAUUAAAACAAGAUAACAGGAUUAAUUAAUGUUAUUAUUGUAAACAAUCAAACAAACAAUGCUCAUUAAUUAAUGUUACUACAGUAAAUAAUCAAAGGAUUAAUCGUAUUAUACUGCGGAUGACGGAAAUACCAUGAAUAUUAUAUAGAAUUAUACUAUUUCAAAAACAAAAUUUAUGAGAACUAAAAUAUCAUAAGUAAUUAAAAUAUUGUAAAUACAAAAAUCUUCAACGGAAUUUAUUUAUCUAAAACUGUUUUGUUUGCGUAGGAACCUAAAAAUUCAUUCGAACGAAAAUUAACUCUUUUGUUUUCUAUGCUUAAUCUGAAAGAGUGGAGUUCUUUUACUACAAGAAAAUAGUCACAUAAUUUUAGUUUUUUUUUUCGUUCCGCCCUAAUAAUAUACUACUAGAAAUAUUUAGUCUGAACUGUCAACUUAAUAUUUCGAAGAUCACUUGACACAUCUAUUUCGAUAAAUUUGAUCCCUGAUAUCAAUAGAACUACCGGUUGCACGAAACUGCAAAGAAUAUGAGGUAGCUGUGCGUGGAAAUGAGUUCAGCAGGUAGGGUCACGAGCUAAAAUCACGCUUUACGGCUGUGAACUUUCCUUUCUUUCGAUCGCCAGCUGCGCGCUAGAGCAUUAUGCCCUCUAGUCUUUCGCUCCUAUCGAUCGGUCCGUGUCGUCAGCCCAUUCAGUCACGGUCACAGCUGUCGUAUCUUGAUUUUCUCAGCAGCUCGGGAAAAUAGUCGAUUUACGACAGAAAAUUGCCUUAAAAUUUUCUUUUUUAGUAGAACUGGAUGUAAGAAGGCUAAUCGAGUGGUCCGGAUGGUGAGAAAACAAUAAGGCGAGGCAGGAAGAGGUGAAGAAAAGAGGAGAGCUAGAGGGUGGAUUUUAUUGAUGGAACGCAGAAUCAUAAAGGAACGCGAAACUGCAGCAUGAAGUGAGAGCGAGUACGAUAGGUGGCCGGCUGUGGCCGUUCUCUUGCAUCGUGUUCGGUCUUUGGAAUGCCGACACCGCCGACGCCGACACAACAAGAAGAAAACGAUUCGAUUCUCCCCAGGGCCGAGUCAGGACUUUCGGUGGGAGAGAAUUCUCUCGCCAAGCGAUGGCUUUGAGCUGUCCUCGUUGUGUAUUGUGUAUGCACGAUAGAAGAAUAAUAGAACUCGGAGAAGUCUGGGACUUGUAAUAAAGACUUAAAUAAGAUACUUGUAUUUCUAAUAAAACAUUAUAUACGUACAUAGGUUGCCUGCUACUAUAAACAGAAACAAAUUGUAUGUAUAAUGCAAAUUAUUAUGCACAUUUUUAUAGGAAGUAUUUGCAAUAAAUUACCACUAAUAAGAAAGUUGAUUACCUAAUAAUGAUAAACGAAUCCUGUGUCAUUG